GAUGUACUCCCUCUGUCCGAAAAUACUUGUCAUCAAAAUGGACAAAAAGGGAUGUAUGUAGACCUAAAAUGCAUCCCCUUUUAUUCAUUUUGAUGACAAGUAUUUCUGGACGGAGGGAGUAUAUA
rfam:Triticum aestivum genome assembly, contig: Triticum_aestivum_CS42_TGACv1_scaffold_329983_4BS